UAUAUGUGUCUUUUUGCCAAGAGUUUUACCCAGGAUACACUUCUGCAAAGCCACUCCAGUAUUGGACCAGUUUACCCCACUCUACCAUGGACGUCCUACUUGUGAUGUGGACCUGAACCACCGCCAUGUUAGUCACUCUUUCAGGUCUUGCGGAGUAUCCUUCCCAAGUUGCAAGUACCAGCGUGGAUGUCAAGGGACAUGACCGUUCCCCUGCUGUACCAUGGGCGACCUAGUUGUGAUGUGGACCUGAACCUCCGCCAUGUAGCAGACACCCCCCCUCAGGUCUUGCGGAGUAUCCUUCCCGAUUUGCAGGAACCAGCCUGGAUGUGAAGGGACAGGACAGUUCCCCUGAUGUACCAUGGGCAACCUACCACAAUACCACUAUCUCUGAAAUGGCCUAUUUUACAUUUCAUUUACUAAUAAUUAAAAGAAAACACACAAAACUUCUCAAUUUAACAAUUUAUUGAAGAAUUAUACUUGGAUUUUAUUUUGUAUUAAAAAAUAAACUGUAAUAAAACAAA